rnacentral:tRNA from 1 species
GGCCCCUUCGUCUAACGGUUAGGACGUCGGGUUCUCAUCCCGGCAACAGGGGUUCGAUUCCCCUAGGGGUCA